AACGAACGCUGGCGGCAGGCCUAACACAUGCAAGUCGAGCGAGCCCUUCGGGGCUAGCGGCGGACGGGUGAGUAACGCGUGGGAACGUGCCCUUCUCUACGGAAUAGCCUCGGGAAACUGAGAGUAAUACCGUAUAAGCCCUUCGGGGGAAAGAUUUAUCGGGGAAGGAUCGGCCCGCGUUGGAUUAGGUAGUUGGUGGGGUAAUGGCCUACCAAGCCGACGAUCCAUAGCUGGUUUGAGAGGAUGAUCAUCCACACUGGGACUGAGACACGGCCCAGACUCCUACGGGAGGCAGCAGUGGGGAAUCUUAGACAAUGGGGGAAACCCUGAUCUAGCCAUGCCGCGUGAGUGACGAAGGCCUUAGGGUCGUAAAGCUCUUUCGCUGGGGAAGAUAAUGACGGUACCCAGUAAAGAAACCCCGGCUAACUCCGUGCCAGCCGCCGCAGUAAGAC
rnacentral:rRNA from 1 species